rnacentral:rRNA from 1 species
UACGGAGGGUGCAAGCGUUAAUCGGAAUUACUGGGCGUAAAGCGCACGCAGGCGGUUUGUUAAGUCAGAUGUGAAAUCCCCGGGCUCAACCUGGGAACUGCAUUUGAAACUGGCAAGCUAGAGUCUCGUAGAGGGGGGUAGAAUUCCAGGUGUAGCGGUGAAAUGCGUAGAGAUCUGGAGGAAUACCGGUGGCGAAGGCGGCCCCCUGGACGAAGACUGACGCUCAGGUGCGAAAGCGUGGGGAGCAAACA